CCUACGGGUGGCAGCAGUGAGGAAUAUUGGUCAAUGGGAGAGAUCCUGAACCAGCCAAGCCGCGUGAGGGAAGACGGCCCUAUGGGUUGUAAACCUCUUUUGUCGGAGAACAAAACCCGGGACGUGUCCCGGACUGCGUGUAUCCGAAGAAAAAGCAUCGGCUAACUCCGUGCCAGCAGCCGCGGUAAUACGGAGGAUGCGAGCGUUAUCCGGCUUUCUUGGGUUAAAGGGGUGUGUAGGCGGUCCGUUAAGUCAGCGGGAAAAUUUCGGGGCUAAACCCCGUCGAGCCGUUGAAACUGGCAGACUUGAGUUGGCGAGAGGUACGCGGAAUGCGCGGUGUAGAGGUGAAAUGCAUAGAUAUCGCGCAGAACUCCGAUUGCGAAGGCAGCGUACCGGCGCCAGACUGACGCUGAGGCACGAAAGCGUGGGGAUCGAACAGGAUUAGAUACCCUAGUAGUC
rnacentral:rRNA from 1 species